UCGACGAUAUCUAAUCGAGAAAUAAUCUUGGCAAGGACAAUAAUAAGCACGGGCGAUCGUUAUAGCAGAUUGAUAAAACGUGUUUUCGUGGAUGAAAUUCGUUGGAACGUCGGCAGUGGUAAAAACUCGCCACCCACCAAUUUAACGUCAUUUAGUUCCAUUGCCUUUAUUACGUCUCGCGAUUCUGCCAUUCGCAACACAGACGACGGGUAAUCAAAAAGCGAGCGGGUCUUCCGCGCUGGUAUUGUUCGAAAGAGGGCAGCGCAGCUGCUCGAAAAUAGACAAGUCCAUUGUGAGCACACGGAGGCCAACAAUGGACGCCGAGAGUACGUGCACGCGUGAAAUCGAUCGGGAAACUGACUCACGGGGACGGAUCCCGUACCCGGCUCCGUACAAGCUAACGCUCGAUUAUUCCCUGUAUCGGCAAGGUCACGACCUCCGGUGAGAAUCGUGACAGGACUGCACGAAACGACACGGCGGCGCGCCGAACACGACACCAAACUAUCGUGGCAACGGGUGCUUCGCUACUGUGCGCAGGAGUCUGCGUGUGCGCCGCUCCGACAAGCGGGAAUGGUGGGGAUGACAGGGACAGAUGGCAGCCACGAACGUUACCGGUUUACGCCGAGUGUGGCCGAACAUGAUUCAUACUCGACCCGGGAGAUGGUGCAUCUGUUUAAAUUAUGAAUAUUUAUUUAAUUCAUAUAUUUUUCUAUUUAUUUAUAGUAAAUUUCAAUCUUAUAUGAAAAUCAAUACAUUUUUGUUUGGUGUUAAUAAAUUUAUAUUAUAUUUCA